UUUUUAAAGUAAAUAGUAUAAUUAAAAAAAAGUUAUAUAUAACAUUUAGGAAAUAAUAAAAAUUUGAUGAUAUGAUGCGAUCACUGCACGGAGGGGAACCCUAGGAAGUUAAGUACGACUCAACGGUCGGCCCUAAUUUCAGUCACAUCCGCAUAUCAUACAAUCGCAACGGAAUCUCUGUGUGCCAUAGCAGGAGAGCCCCUGAUUAAUUUCUAGUUAAACAAACGGAGCAGAUUAUACGACCUUAGGAAGAACAGGAACAUCGAGAAAGCGAGUAGAAAAUUGGAAGACAUGAAGCUUAAGCGCGCGUUAGUAGAACAGAUCGACGAGAACAUCCUUGCAAAUUAACGGUCGAGAUGGGAGAAUUCCUCCAAAGGAAGGACGACAUUUACUUUUUUCCCGGACAUCAAGAAAAGCAUGGGUGUCCGUUUCGUCACUCCAAACUACUUUUCAACACAAUUUCUUUCAGAUCAUGCGGCUUUCAAAGUAAAACUAACGUCGCUGAACCUCGUCACGGAUGGAACAUGCGAGUGUGGCGAAGAAGACAUGGUUUCGGAACACAUCAUCGAAUGUCCGAUUUUCAAACCUCAGAGAGUUGCUCUGAAAGAAAUAUUCUGCGAAAAGAGCUGGCCAGAAGCAACGAGACAUCUUGUCUUCACGGCUGAGGCCUUUUCCUUUUUCGCGGUUUUGUAAAGAAACCAUCUAUAUUAAGGGUAAUUAGUUCAUAAAUCCUGUUCAGCUAGGAUUGUCGGAGUUCUGGUGAUGAGGGUGGGUGUCUGUAAUGUUUUCAGGUUAACUUACUCUCGAAUAGGAUAAAGUCGAAGAUGCUUGCAUGCAUCUCCCUAUUUUUUUUUCUUCUCAUUACAACCUAAUACUCUCCCUAAAACUUGCUAUCCUACCAAUCCCAUCCUAUCCUACGGAACGAGUGUCAAGGAUCGUGGCAUUGUGAGCGGGUCUUUCCGUGGUUUCCCGUGGGCACAACCGACAUCAGCGUGGUGAUUCGUUGCUGCGAGGAUAUGUCUAAACCACUCACCUUAUUUCGCUGGCAGGAGUUUUGGGUUUUUCCGAAUUCGGUCACUUGGCUGUGGUGGCUGAUGUCUUUAGGUGGUUUCGUAGCGUAUGCCGUAAUGGACGAGGUAGCAUUGGUGCAGACACCCUACGGGUGUUCACCUUUACACUAUACUGUUCCAUCAUGGCUGCGAUAUUGGAUGAAUGAGUUGCCGUGUGCUCCGCGUUUUGUGAAAAUUUUUCCGGUUUACUACAUUUUGCCUGUGAAAAUUUAUAUCUCACUCGUUAAUUAGAGUGCGGUGAACAAAGUGAGAUAAUAAUCAAUACUGGGGAUUGAUUAAUUACUCUAUAAUUAAUGAGAAAUGUACUCAGUAAUUUUAUGGAGGUUACGUUCGUUUUUGCGGAAGUGGCACUUUAUAUUCUAUGGACGAACGGUGGAUUCAACUGAUAAUUUCAGUUGCAAGACGGAAGUGGAUUUGCAACUAAUUCACGCCGUACUGUGAUUAGCUGUUGGAUUGGACAAUAACAAUUUGUAGUGUUAGUGCACAUUAUUUAUUUUUCGAUAGUUGGCGCACAUGCGUUACUCCUAACCUCAAAUCUUAAAUGCGCGGGAGACGUACGGAACUUCAGGCAUGGCUCUACAGACUUUGUCACCUGAGACUUCAGGCACGGCUCUACAGACCUUUUCGUCCGUGAUGAGUUCCACUAAAAGUACAAGUCUCUACCGGUUUCCCUACUAUUGCUCUCAUUUUGGAUUCGCCUGCGCCAACAGCUUUUCACGGAGCUUCAUCGUCCUUCUAUUUACAGGUGAUACUGUAUGAUACUUUUUCUUCUCGAAAAAUAUGGAAAACAGUGUUUAGACCAAUAAUGAAAACAGGCGUAAUUCUUAAGCAUAAUUUUGAUGAACGCUGAGCAUGGAAUUAUGAUCAGUAAAUUUAUAUAGUGGAGGAAUGAAUUGAUUGACACAGUUGUUCAUCAUGCAACUAAUGGAAGAGAAGUUGUUUUGUUUUAGAUUAUUAAUGCACAAUUAAUGGAGUGAUGGAUGAAUCAAUCUUUGUUUCGGUAAAAUAAAAGAAUUCCAUAGACUAUACUUUAUAUGUGAAACAUCCAAUGGAAUUAAAUUUAUUAUCUGUCAAUUGAUCAAUAAAUAAUUAACGCGUAUUAGAAUCAAUACACCAUGGAAGACGGUCAAGAAUCGAAGUAUAUUUCUUCUAUAGAACAAUAAUAUCAAUCUACUGCAACUUCAACCUACUUCAUUUUCAAUUUACUUCGAUGUAAAUCUAUCUUAUUUUUGACUUAUUACGAGUCAAUCUACUCUAAUUUCACCCUACAAUAAGGAUGAAUGUUUUGGACCGUGGAAUUUCUUAAAUAAGUGGAUGAUCUGGGCGAUGCCAGUAGUAUGCCUUGGCAAAGUGUAUCUGUAUCUAUUUUAUCACGUUGCCUGCCGUGGGGGUAACCGAUGACCGGCACUCGACUUGGCUACAGCGCCGUGGAGGCCACUGGUGACCAGCGACGCGACGAAUAGUAAAAAUACAUAAUUAGGAACAUGUAAUUAUAAUUUUAUCAAUACAAGGAAAAUAUACAUGUUAUUUGUGCACAUAACGAUGAAUCACAUUGAUACACGAAUCUCUAUUCUGCUGUCAGCGAUGCAGUAGUCAAAACAGGAACUGCUUCUAAUGUAUGUGGGAUUGGCUGCCGAAUAGAUUGUUGUUUUGAAUUGAAUACCGUUAUUUUGUUCUCAUUGAUGUAGGCGUCUACCUUUAUCGUUUAUGUAGUCUUAUCUUCCAAUAUGUGUUUCUUGCAUUUAAGUAGUGAUUUAUUUGCGUUUACCAUUAUUCUCACAGCUGAGUAUUCUAUUAUCUUGUAUUUCUUUGGCUGCGUGAUGUUUACAUAUUUGAUAUUAUUGUUUAAUACUAUUGCUGUACCACCUUCAUUGGAAUUUAUUGCUCUAUCCGAUCUGAUUAUGUCAUAAUUGUUAAAUUUUAGUUUAUAUUUAUUAUUUAGUUUAGUUUCUGAUAUCGUUACAGUAACAUAUCUAUACUCAUCUAAGUAUUUUUGUAAAUCUAAUCUAUUUUUUAAUGAGCAAAGUGAGUUCACAUUUAUAGUGGACAUUUUCAGUAUGUUAUUUAUUUUAGUAUUUAACCUUAUUCUGCCUGCCAUUGUGACAUGUAGUCGAUUCUCAUUGUAUUUUGAAUAAUUUUGUUAUUCAACUUCAAUUCAAUAAGUUGCUCUUUUAUUUCCUUCAAACUAUCUUUUAUCCUUUGCACUUUGAACUAUUCUGAACUCUGCCUAUUAGCUACUUAGCGCUACUUUGUGGCAGAAAUGUGUAUUUACAGACCCUCGUAUUAUUUAGUAUGGUUUUGGGAAUAACUAACAUAUUAUAAUGAUAUUGGACUUAUAUGAAUUGGUUGAAAUCGAGAAAUGUAUAUAAUAUUUCGGAUCUAUUAGGUGAGGCGAUAAACGAAAAUAUGUUUCUCUGAGAACAAAAGAAUAAAUCUUUAUUUGUUAAUUAAUAAUUAAUUGCUAUUUACAGUCUUACCUGUGAACAAAAAAACAACAAUUCACGUUUAUUAUUCACACUACUUAAAUUUUAU